rnacentral:rRNA from 1 species
GACGAACGCUGGCGGCGUGCUUAACACAUGCAAGUCGAACGGUAAGGCCCUGCUUUUGUGGGGUGCUCGAGUGGCGAACGGGUGAGUAACACGUGAGUAACCUGCCCUUGACUUUGGGAUAACUUCAGGAAACUGGGGCUAAUACCGGAUAGGAGCUCCUGCUGCAUGGUGGGGGGUGGAAAGGUUCGGCGGUUGGGGAUGGACUCGCGGCUUAUCAGCUUGUUGGUGGGGUAGUGGCUUACCAAGGCUUUGACGGGUAGCCGGCCUGAGAGGGUGACCGGCCACAUUGGGACUGAGAUACGGCCCGGACUCCUACGGGAGGCAGCAGUGGGGAAUAUUGAACAAUGGGCGGAAGCCUGAUGCAGCAACGCCGCGUGCGGGAUGACGGCCUUCGGGUUGUAAACCGCUUUCGCCUGUGACGAAGCGUGAGUGACGGUAAUGGGUAAAGAAGCACCGGCUAACUACGUG